GACGUAGGGGCGAGCGUUGUCCGGAAUUACUGGGCGUAAAGAGCACGUAGGCGGGAACCUAAGUCAGGUGUGAAAGACCGUGGCUCAACCACGGGGUGGCAUUUGAAACUGGGUUUCUUGAGGGCAGGAGAGGAAAGCAGAAUUCCUGGUGUAGCGGUGAAAUGCGUAGAAAUCAGGAGGAAUACCAGUGGCGAAGGCGGCUUUCUGGACUGACCCUGACGCUGAGGUGCGAAAGCGUGGGUAGCAAACAGGAUUAGAUACCCCUGUAGUCCCUGAGCGGG
rnacentral:rRNA from 1 species